rnacentral:rRNA from 1 species
UGAGGAAUAUUGGUCAAUGGGCGAGAGCCUGAACCAGCCAAGUAGCGUGCAGGAUGACGGCCCUAUGGGUUGUAAACUGCUUUUGUAUGGGGAUAAAGUCAGUCACGUGUGAUUGUUUGCAGGUACCAUACGAAUAAGGACCGGCUAAUUCCGUGCCAGCAGCCGCGGUAAUACGGAAGGUCCGGGCGUUAUCCGGAUUUAUUGGGUUUAAAGGGAGCGUAGGCUGGAGAUUAAGUGUGUUGUGAAAUGUAGACGCUCAACGUCUGACUUGCAGCGCAUACUGGUUUCCUUGAGUACGCACAACGUUGGCGGAAUUCGUCGUGUAGCGGUGAAAUGCUUAGAUAUGACGAAGAACUCCGAUUGCGAAGGCAGCUGACGGGAGCGCAACUGACGCUGAAGCUCGAAGGUGCGGGUAUCGAACAGGAUUAGAUACCCUGGUAGUCCGCACAGUAAACGAUGGAUGCCCGCUGUUGGUACGUGGUAUCAGCGGCUAAGCGAAAGCAUUAAGCAUCCCACCUGGGGAGUACGCCGGCCGGU